CAUGUCAUGAGUCUAUCUCAUAUAUUAGUUUCACCUUCAACUUAAAAGGUGAAACUAAUAUAUGAGAUAGACUCAUGACAUU